GUAGGGAAUCUUCCACAAUGGACGAAAGUCUGAUGGAGCAACGCCGCGUGAGUGAAGAAGGUCUUCGGAUCGUAAAACUCUGUUGUUAGAGAAGAACGUGCAUGAUAGUAACUGAUCAUGUAAUGACGGUAUCUAACCAGAAAGCCACGGCUACCUACGUGCCAGCAGCCGCGGUAAUACGUAGGUGGCAAGCGUUGUCCGGAUUUAUUGGGCGUAAAGGGAACGCAGGAGGUUGUUAAGUCUGAUGUGAAAGCCUUCGGCUUAACCGAAGAAGAGCAUUGGAAACUGGAAGACUUAAGUGCAGAAGAGGAGAGUGGAAUUCCAUGUGUAGCGGUGAAAGGCGUAGAGAUAUGGAGGAACACCAGUGGCGAAAGCGGCUCUCUGGUCUGUAACUGACGCGGAGGUUCGAAAGCGUGGGUAGCAAACAGGAUUAGAAACCCCAGUAGUCC
rnacentral:rRNA from 1 species